UUGGAGGGCAAGUCUGGUGCCAGCAGCCGCGGUAAUUCCAGCUCCAAUAGCGUAUAUUAAAGUUGUUGCAGUUAAAAAGCUCGUAGUUGAAUUUCGGGAUCAGAUUGUCGGUCGUGCCUCGGUACGUACUGGCAUUAUUGGUUCCUACCUUCUAAGGAACCUUAAUGUCAUUAAUUUGAUGUUUUGGGGAGUUAGGACUGUUACCUUGAAAAAAUUAGAGUGUUUAAAGCAGGCUAACGCUUGAAUACAUUAGCAUGGAAUAAUGAAAUAGGACAUCCGAUUCUAUUUUGUUGGUUUCUAGGAUCGAUGUAAUGAUUAAUAGGGAUAGUUGGGGGCAUUAGUAUUCAAUUGUCAGAGGUGAAAUUCUUGGAUUUAUUGAAGACUAACUACUGCGAAAGCAUUUGCCAAGGAUGUUUUCAUUAAUCAAGAACGAAAGUUAGGGGAUCGAAGACGAUCAGAUACCGUCGUAGUCUUAACCAUAAACUAUGCCGACUAGGGAUCGGAUGAUGUUAAUUUUUUAAUGACUCAUUCGGCGCCUUACGGGAAAC
rnacentral:rRNA from 1 species